UCCGUAGGGGGCGAGCGUUGUCCGGAUUUAUUGGGCGUAAAGAGCGUGUAGGCGGCCAGGUAGGUCCGUUGUGAAAACUCGAGGCUCAACCUCGAGACGUCGAUGGAAACCAUCUGGCUAGAGUCCGGAAGAGGAGAGUGGAAUUCCUGGUGUAGCGGUGAAAUGCGCAGAUAUCAGGAAGAACACCCGUGGCGAAGGCGGCUCUCUGGGACGGUACUGACGCUGAGACGCGAAAGCGUGGGGAGCGAACAGG
rnacentral:rRNA from 1 species